GAUGAAGAACGUAGCAAAAUGCGAUACUUGGUGUGAAUUGCAGAAUCCCGUGAACCAUCGAGUUUUUGAACGCAAGUUGCGCCCGAAGCCUUUUGGCCGAGGGCACGUCUGCCUGGGCGUCACGCAUCGCGUCGCCCCCCACAAUUCUCCGUAAAAGGAACAUGUGUUUUGGGGGCGGAUAUUGGUCUCCCGUGCUCAUGGCGUGGUUGGCCGAAAUAGGAGUCCUUUCGAUGGACGCACGAACUAGUGGUGGUCGUAAAAACCCUCGUCUUUUGUUUCGUGCUGUUGCUCGCAAGGUAAACUCUUUAAAAACCCCAAUGUGUCGUCUCUUGACGACGCUUAGACCGCGACCCCAGGUCAGGCGGGACUACCCGCUGAGUUUAAGCAUAUCAAUAAGCGGAGGA
rnacentral:misc_RNA from 1 species